rnacentral:rRNA from 1 species
GGAGGGUGCGAGCGUUGUCCGGAAUCACUGGGCGUAAAGGGCGCGUAGGCGGCCGAGCAAGGUCGCGGUGAAAGCCCGGGGCUCAACCCCGGGUCGGCCGUGGCAACUACUCGGCUCGAGCACUGUAGGGGCGGGUGGAAUUCCGGGUGUAGCGGUGGAAUGCGUAGAGAUCCGGAAGAACACCGGUGGCGAAGGCGGCCCGCUGGGCAGGAAGGGAGAGCAAUCUCCCGGCUGACGCUGAGGCGCGACAGCGUGGGGAGCAAACAGGAUUAGAUACCCUGGUAGUCCACGCCGUAAACGAUGGGCACUAGGUGCCUGGGGGAGCGACCCCCCGGGUGCCGGCGCUAACGCAUUAAGUGCCCCGCCUGGGGAGUACGGCCGCAAGGCUG